rnacentral:tRNA from 1 species
UAUCUCAGUUGGUAGAGCAUGGCGCUUGCAAUGCCAGGGUUGUGGGUUCGAUUCCCAC